rnacentral:rRNA from 1 species
UACGAAGGGAGCGAGCGUUGUUCGGAAUCACUGGGCUUAAAGCGUGCGUAGGCGGGUUAGUAAGUCAGAAGUGAAAGCCCGGGGCUUAACCCCGGAACUGCUUUUGAGACUGCUAAUCUAGAAUUCGGUAGAGGCUAGUGGAAUAUCCAGUGUAGAGGUGAAAUUCGCAGAUAUUGGAUGGAACACCAGUGGCGAAGGCGACUAGCUGGGCCGAUAUUGACGCUGAGGCACGAAAGCGUGGGUAGCAAACAGG